rnacentral:rRNA from 1 species
UUCUCCGCCGGCGACCGGCGCACGGGUGAGUAACACGUAUGCAACCUGCCCCUGUCAGGGGGACAACCCGCCGAAAGGCGGGCUAAACCCGCGUACAUGCCACCGGGGCAUCCCGGAGGCAGGAAAGGCUUCGGCCGGACAGGGAUGGGCAUGCGGCGCAUUAGGCAGUAGGCGGGGUAACGGCCCACCUAACCGACGAUGCGUAGGGGUUCUGAGAGGAAGGUCCCCCACACUGGUACUGAGACACGGACCAGACUCCUACGGAAGGCAGCAG